rnacentral:tRNA from 1 species
CUGAAAAGUUGUAAUCAAUGAUUCAUUUACAUUGAAUUGAGGGCUUAGGCCAUUUGGC